CGUGUGCCAGUGGGGUCCCUCGGCUUGGCUUGCACCCUCUCACAAUCUGGGAUUCCCUGGGGGAUGUCGGAGAGUCUGUUUUGGCCCAAUCCCACAGGCCAGGCCGAGGGACUCCACUGGUGCACA
rnacentral:pre_miRNA from 1 species